rnacentral:rRNA from 1 species
UACAGAGGUCUCAAGCGUUUGUUCGGAUUCAUUGGGCGUAAAGGGUGCGUAGGCGGCGCGGUAAGUCGGGCGUGAAAUCUCGGGGCUUAACUCCGAAACUGCAUUCGAUACUGCCGUGCUUGAGGACUGGAGAGGAGACUGGAAUUUACGGUGUAGCGGUGAAAUGCGUAGAUAUCGUAAGGAAGACCAGUGGCGAAGGCGGGUCUCUGGACAGUUCCUGA